UAUUCUUUAACAAAAAUAAAAAGCAAAUAUAAUAUAAGAAUGGAGCCAAGCACCAUUUUGAGAUAUGUUGUGACAUUCCUGACACUUCAAUAUUGUUGGAGUCAGACACUGACUGAGUCUGAACCCGUUGUCAUUAAACCUGGAGGAUCUCAUAAACUGACCUGUACUGCCUCUGGCUUUGACUUUAGUAGCUCCUGGAUGGCUUGGAUCAGACAAGCUUCUGGAAAAGGCCUGGAUUUUGUUGCUAUCAUUGAGUAUGAUAGUGAUAGAAAGUUUUAUUCCAGUGCUGUUCAAGGAAGGUUCACCAUCUCCAGAGACAACAGUAAGAAUCAGUUAUAUCUGGACAUGGGCAGCUUAAGGACUGAUGACACUGCUGUGUAUUACUGUGCUCGAAGCACACUGUGACACAAGAGGCUAUGGCCCUGAACAAAAACCUGUAUGCUUGGUUUGACUGACUUAAUGAUGAGAACCUGACUUUUGACAUUGCAUUUUUUAGACUAACUGUACGUUCAGACAUAAUAAUAAAAAAAAAAUAAAAAAAAAAAACUUAAUUAAAA